AGGGAACAAGUAAAGUAAGUACUGCAAGUAAAGUAACACAGGGAACAAGUAAAGUAAGUACUGCAAGUAAAGUAAGUACUGCAAGUAAAGUAACAGGGAACAAGUAAAGUAACACAGGGAACAAAAAAGAAAGUAAUGCAAGUAACACAGGGAACAAGUAAAGAAAGUAAUGCAAGUAAAGUAACACAGGGAACAAGUAAAGAAAGUAAUGCAAGUAAAGUAACACAGGGAACAAUAAAAGAAAGUAAUGCAAGUAAAGAAAGUAAUGCAAGUAAAGUAACACAGGGAACAAGAAAAGUAAGUACUGCAAGUAAAGUAACAGGGAACAAGUAAAGAAAGUAAUGCAAGUAAAGUAACAAGGAACAAGUAAAGAAAGUAAUGCAAGUAAAGAAAGUAAUGCAAGUAAAGUAACACAGGGAACAAGUAAAGAAAGUAAUGCAAGUAAAGUAACACAGGGAACAAGUAAAGAAAGUAAUGCAAGUAAAGUAACACAGGGAACAAGUAAAGAAAGUAAUGCAAGUAAAGUAACAGGGAACAAGUAAAGUAACAGGGAACAAGUAAAGAAACUACUGCAAGUAAAGUAACAGGGAACAAGUAAAGUAACACAGGGAACAAGAAAAGUAAGUACUGCAAGUAAAGUAACAGGGAACAAGUAAAGAAAGUAAUGCAAGUAAAGUAACAAGGAACAAGUAAAGAAAGUAAUGCAAGUAAAGAAAGUAAUGCAAGUAAAGUAACACAGGGAACAAGUAAAGUAAGUACUGCAAGUAAAGUAACAGGGAACAAGUAAAGUAACACAGGGAACAAAAAGAAAGUAAUGCAAGUAACACAGGGAACAAGUAAAGUAACGGAACAAGUAAAGAAAGUAAUGCAAGUAAAAGUAACACAGGGAACAAGUAAAGAAAGUAAUGCAAGUAAAGUAACAGGGAAUAAGUAAUGCAAGUAAAGUAACGGAACAAGUAAAGAAAGUAAUGCAAGUAAAGUAACAGAACAAGUAAAGAAAGUAAUGCAAGUAAAGUAACACAGGGAACAAGUAAAGAAAGUAAUGCAAGUAAAGUAACAGGGAACAAGUAAAGUAACAGGGAACAAGUAAAGUAACACAGGGAACAAGAAAAGUAAGUAAUGCAAGUAAAGUAACAAGGAACAAGUAAAGAAAGUAAUGCAAGUAAAGAAAGUAAUGCAAGUAAAGUAACACAGGGAACAAGUAAAGUAAGUACUGCAAGUAAAGUAACACAGGGAACAAGUAAAGUAAGUACUGCAAGUAAAGUAAGUACUGCAAGUAAAGUAACAGGGAACAAGUAAAAAAGUAAUGCAAGUAAAGUAACACAGGGAACAAGUAAAGAAAGUAAUGCAAGUAAAGUAACAAGGAAUAAGUAAUGCAAGUAAAGUAACGGAACAAGUAAAGAAAGUAAUGCAAGUAAAGUAACACAGGGAACAAGUAAAGAAAGUACUGCAAGUAAAGUAACACAGGGAACAAGUAAAGAAAGUACUGCAAGUAAAGUAACAGAACAAGUAAAGAAAGUACUGC
ensembl:lncRNA